AGAGUUUGAUCCUGGCUCAGGACGAACGCUGGCGGCACGCUUAACACAUGCAAGUCGAACGAGAGAAGAGGAGCUCGCUUUUCUGAUCUAGUGGCGGACGGGUGAGUAACACGUGAGCAAUCUGCCUUUCAGAGGGGGAUACCGAUUGGAAACGAUCGUUAAUACCGCAUAACAUAAUUGAACCGCAUGAUUUGAUUAUCAAAGAUUUAUCGCUGAAAGAUGAGCUCGCGUCUGAUUAGCUAGUUGGUAAGGUAACGGCUUACCAAGGCGACGAUCAGUAGCCGGACUGAGAGGUUGAUCGGCCACAUUGGGACUGAGACACGGCCCAGACUCCUACGGGAGGCAGCAGUGGGGAAUAUUGCACAAUGGAGGAAACUCCGAUGCAGCGAUGCCGCGUGAGGGAAGAAGGUUUUAGGAUUGUAAACCUCUGUCUUCAGGGACGAAAAAAGACGGUACCUGAGGAGGAAGCUCCGGCUAACUACGUGCCAGCAGCCGCGGUAAUACGUAGGGAGCGAGCGUUGUCCGGAAUUACUGGGUGUAAAGGGAGCGUAGGCGGGAUCGCAAGUCAGAUGUGAAAACUAUGGGCUUAACCCAUAAACUGCAUUUGAAACUGUGGUUCUUGAGUGAAGUAGAGGUAAGGGGAAUUCCUAGUGUAGCGGUGAAAUGCGUAGAUAUUAGGAGGAACAUCAGUGGCGAAGGCGGCUUACUGGGCUUUAACUGACGCUGAGGCUCGAAAGCGUGGGGAGCAAACAGGAUUAGAUACCCUGGUAGUCCACGCCGUAAACGAUGAUUACUAGGUGUGGGGGGACUGACCCCUUCCGUGCCGCAGCAAACGCAAUAAGUAAUCCACCUGGGGAGUACGACCGCAAGGUUGAAACUCAAAGGAAUUGACGGGGGCCCGCACAAGCAGUGGAGUAUGUGGAUUAAUUCGAAGCAACGCGAAGAACCUUACCAGGUCUUGACAUCGUAUGCAUAGCUCAGAGAUGAGUGAAAUCUCUUCGGAGACAUAUAGACAGGUGGUGCAUGGUUGUCGUCAGCUCGUGUCGUGAGAUGUUGGGUUAAGUCCCGCAACGAGCGCAACCCUUACUGUUAGUUGCUACGCAAGAGCACUCUAGCAGGACUGCCGUUGACAAAACGGAGGAAGGUGGGGAUGACGUCAAAUCAUCAUGCCCCUUAUGACCUGGGCCUCACACGUACUACAAUGGCUGUCAACAGAGGGAAGCAAAGCCGCGAGGUGGAGCGAACCCCUAAAAGCAGUCUUAGUUCGGAUUGUAGGCUGCAACCCGCCUACAUGAAGUCGAAAUUGCUAGUAAUCGCAGAUCAGCAUGCUGCGGUGAAUACGUUCCCGGGCCUUGUACACACCGCCCGUCACGCCAUGGGAGUCGGUAACACCCGAAGCCUGUAGUCUAACCGCAAGGAGGACGCAGUCGAAGGUGGGAUUGAUGACUGGGGUGAAGUCGUAACAAGGUA
rnacentral:rRNA from 1 species